rnacentral:rRNA from 1 species
UGGGGAAUAUUGCACAAUGGGCGCAAGCCUGAUGCAGCAACGCCGCGUGAGGGACGACGGCCUUCGGGUUGUAAACCUCUUUUGGCAGGGAAGAAGCGAAAGUGACGGUACCUGCAGAAAAAGCACCGGCUAACUACGUGCCAGCAGCCGCGGUGAUACGUAGGGUGCAAGCGCUGUCCGGAAUUAUUGGGCGUAAAGCGUGCGCAGGCGGCGCCAUAAGACAGCUGUGAAAUCCCCGGGCUUAACCUGGGAACUGCGGUUGUGACUGUGGUGCUAGAGUACGGCAGAGNGAGGUGGAAUUCCUGGUGUAGCAGUGAAAUGCGUAGAGAUCAGGAGGAACACCGAUGGCGAAGGCAGCCUCCUGGGCUGAUACUGACGCUCAUGCACGAAAGCGUGGGGAGCAAACA